rnacentral:rRNA from 1 species
CCUACGGGAGGCAGCAGUGGGGAAUAUUGCGCAAUGGGCGAAAGCCUGACGCAGCGACGCCGCGUGAGGGAUGAAGGUCUUCGGAUCGUAAACCUCUGUCAGCAGGGAAGAACGGUCACUGUGCUAAUCAGCAGUGAAUUGACGGUACCUGCAAAGGAAGCACCGGCUAACUCCGUGCCAGCAGCCGCGGUAAUACGGAGGGUGCGAGCGUUAAUCGGAAUUACUGGGCGUAAAGCGCUCGUAGGCGGUAUGUCAAGUCAAGGGUGAAAUCCCCGCGCUCAACGUGGGAACUGCCUUUGAAUCUGGCAAACUGGAGUGUGUGAGAGGAUAGUGGAAUUCCAGGUGUAGGAGUGAAAUGCGUAGAGAUCUGGAGGAACAUCAGUGGCGAAGGCGACUAUCUGGCACAUAACUGACGCUGAGGAGCGAAAGCGUGGGUAGCAAACAGGAUUAGAUACCCGAGUAGUC